AUUGAACGCUGGCGGCAGGCCUAACACAUGCAAGUCGAGCGGCGCGGCGGACGGGUGAGUAUUGCCUAGGAUUCUGCCUGGUCCUGGGGGAUAACGUCCGGGAACGGGCGCUAAUACCGCAUCCUCUCAGAUGCGCCUUGGUCGGAUUAGCUAGUUGGUGGGGUAAAGGCCGACCAAGGCGACGAUCCGUAGCUGGUCUGAAAGGUUGAACACUCACACUGGAACGGAGACACGGUCCAGGCUACUACGGGAGUCAGCAGUGGGGAAUAUUGCACAAUGGGCGAAAGCCUGAUCCAGCCAUGCCGCGUGUGUGAAGAAGGUCGUCGGAUUGUAAAGCACUUUAAGGUGGGAGGCGUUACCAGCAGAAUAAGCACCGGCUAACUUCGUGCCAGCAGCCGCGGUAAUUC
rnacentral:rRNA from 1 species